AAAUAUUUCAGCAAAAUUUUUUUUCGUGCAUCGCAAACUACGCAAACUAUGCGAGACACGAAAAACAUAAUUCUAUACUUUAUAUUUCUAUUAUUGCAUAUAAAUUAAAAGGUGCCUUUUUUAUUUCAGAGAAGAUUUUAUCCACGUUGGAUGAUUCUGAAUAAGUUUUUAAAUAUACAAUCGAUACAGGGUGUAAAUUGAAGAAAUUGGACAAUGAAGAAAGAGGGGUGAAAUUAACAAUCAUGUACAAAUCAAAAUUAUAUUUUGGAAUCAGAGAUCGCUAUUGCUCUCCGUGAAUUACAUGUAUUAUACAAUGUGUUACAGCGUGGCGACUUCCUUCUUGUUAAAUUGCGCUAAAUGAAAUUUGAAUUAUAUAAGUAAAAAAAGAGAUGAGAACGAUUUUCGUUCGUGAUAAAAUGUCCUCGGCAAAGGUAAUAAAAUUUGUUGCAUUUGUAAGAACGUUCUUGCUACCAAAGUAUCUUUUUCAAAAUAUUAUAAUACAAACGAUACACAUGA